UACGUAGGAGGCAAGCGUUAUCCGGAAUUACUGGACGUAAAGCGCACGCAGGCGGUUCGCCAAGUUUGGAGUGACAGUUGUCGGCUCAACCGACAAAGGACUUCAAAAACUGGUGAACUUGAGGACGAGAGAGGAACAUGGAACUCCAGGUGUAGUAGUGAAAUGCGUAGAUAUCUGGAAGAACACCAAUGGCGAAGGCAAUGUUCUGGCUCGUUUCUGACGCUCAGGUGCGAAAGCCAGGGGAGCGAACGGG
rnacentral:rRNA from 1 species